UGAAUUCGAGAGAGAAGUGGAGGACGGCGGCUGGGAGCCAGCGCCGGGGUAUCGAUGGAAAAUAAUAAAUGACCAAUUGAGGCUGUUGUUGGUGGAGGUGAGUGGAGAUACCACUGAGAAAAGGAAACAUGAUGUUGUGGAGCACACGGGACACGCGGUGAGAAAGUUGUUAGAGGAGAAUGGCCAUUAGAAGCUCAGUAAAUCAGGGUACAGGUUUCAUCCCGUACGAACUGACCACCGGGAGACAGUUCCCUGGACGUAGUGCUGGCCUGAAGCUCAGGCCCAACCCGGAAGCUCCGCCAGGUGAGUAUGCAACUCAUUAUAACGAACUACGAGCUCUCGUUUCAGAUUUUGCGGACCAGGUGCGAGGAGCCGCGGUGGACCGGACCAUACCAGGUGGAGGAGAGAACCUCACAUGCAGUGAGGCUGAGAGGGAAAGGUGAUACCUGGUACCACUGGAGCCAGUGCGCCCCUGCAGAGGAACCAUCUCGCACUCUCCAGGACGUCCUGAAGGAUUAGGAGCAAGAGGCGGCAACAAACGCACUCUCAACGGGCAGUUGACCGACAGACACCCAGAGCCCCAUGCAGGACUCCAUUCAGAGCAGCACACGUAGUCGCCCUGUUUGAGACGUGCUCUGAUGUGCCGCAAGUUCGCCUUAUAGACUUUGGUGUGAGCAGUUUUGACGAGAGAGAUGCAUUUUUCAAGAGCUUCUACGACUACCAGGACUUCAUCGGGACGUGUUUGAGGAUCCACCCGACGAAUCACUCAGGAGGAGCCCCAAAAUACUUAAAUAAACUUAAACAAAAACUAUA